GGAUUAGAUACCCUGGUAGUCCACGCCCUAAACGAUGUCAACUAGCCGUUGGGUUCAUUUAAGGACUUAGUGGCGCAGCUAACGCGUUAAGUUGACCGCCUGGGGAGUACGGCCGCAAGGUUAAAACUCAAAGGAAUUGACGGGGGCCCGCACAAGCGGUGGAGCAUGUGGUUUAAUUCGAUGCAACGCGAAGAACCUUACCAGGCCUUGACAUCUAGCGAACUUUCCAGAGAUGGAUUGGUGCCUUCGGGAACGCUAAGACAGGUGCUGCAUGGCUGUCGUCAGCUCGUGCCG
rnacentral:rRNA from 1 species